rnacentral:rRNA from 1 species
UACGAAGGUGGCAAGCGUUACUCGGAAUUACUAGGCGUAAAGGGCAGGUAGGUGGUUUGAUAAGUCUGUUGUGAAAGCUCCUGGCUUAACUGGGAGAGGCCAAUAGAAACUAUCAGACUUGAGUAUAGGAGAGGUUACUGGAAUUCCCGGAGUAGCGGUGAAAUGCGCAGAUAUCGGGAGGAACACCAAUGGCGAAAGCAGGUAACUGGACUAUUACUGACACUCAGCUGCGAAAGCUAGGGGAGCAAACAGG